rnacentral:rRNA from 1 species
GUGGGGAAUAUUGGACAAUGGGCGAAAGCCUGAUCCAGCCAUGCCGCGUGUGUGAAGAAGGUCUUCGGAUUGUAAAGCACUUUAAGUUGGGAGGAAGGGCAGUAAGUUAAUACCUUGCUGUUUUGACGUUACCGACAGAAUAAGCACCGGCUAACUUCGUGCCAGCAGCCGCGGUAAUACGAAGGGUGCAAGCGUUAAUCGGAAUUACUGGGCUGAAAGCGCGCGUAGUCGGUUUUGUAAGUUGGAGGGGAAAGCCCCGGGCUAGACCUGGGAACUGCCUCCAAAACUGCAUGACUAGAGUACGGUAGAGGGUAGUGGAAUUUCCUGUGUAGCGGUGAAAUGCGUAGAUAUAGGAAGGAACACCAGUGGCGAAGGCGACUACCUGGACUGAUACUGACACUGAGGUGCGAAAGCGUGGGGAGCAAACAGGAUUAGAAACCCUUGUAGUCC